GUGGGGAAUAUUGGACAAUGGGGGGAACCCUGAUCCAGCCAUGCCGCGUGUGUGAAGAAGGCCUUUUGGUUGUAAAGCACUUUAAGCGAGGAGGAGGCUACCGAGAUUAAUACUCUUGGAUAGUGGACGUUACUCGCAGAAUAAGCACCGGCUAACUCUGUGCCAGCAGCCGCGGUAAUACAGAGGGUGCAAGCGUUAAUCGGAUUUACUGGGCGUAAAGCGCGCGUAGGUGGCCAAUUAAGUCAAAUGUGAAAUCCCCGAGCUUAACUUGGGAAUGGCAUUCGAUACUGGUUGGCUAGAGUAUGGGAGAGGAUGGUAGAAUUCCAGGUGUAGCGGUGAAAUGCGUAGAGAUCUAGAGGAAUACCGAUGGCGAAGGCAGCCAUCUGGCCUAAUACUGACACUGAGGUGCGAAAGCAUGGGGAGCAAACAGGAUUAGAAACCCUUGUAGUCC
rnacentral:rRNA from 1 species